GCUGGGCACGGUGGCGCGUGUCUGUAGUCCCAGCUACUUGGGAGGCUGAGGUAGGAGGAUCGCUUGAGCCCAGGAGUUCUAGGCUGUAGUGCGCUAUGCCGAUCGGGUGUCUGCACUAAGUUUGGCAUCAAUAUGGUGACCUCCCGGGAGCGGGGGACCACCAAGUUACCUAAGGAGGGGUGAACCAGCCCAGGUCGGAAGUGGAGCAGGUCAAAACUCCCGUGCUGAUCAGUAAUGGGAUCACGCCUGUGAAUAGCCACUGCACUCCAGCCUGGGGAAACAUAGCCGAGACCCUGUCUCU
rnacentral:SRP_RNA from 1 species